GUUCAGUAGGUCAACCUGUGCCGGUAUAGUUCCUGGAGAAAAAAACAAAAGAGAAAAAGAAUGGUGGGAAUGGACUGGCUGACAUGGGGGUGAAACCCAGUGGAGUGAGCGACAUAAGAUGGCCAGUGCAUACAGGUGCAGUCUUUGGAUACUGAUGAAGAUUUACUGCCCUGCAAGAUCUUCCUCAACUGCAUAGUCUGGAGCGAAGGAUGCAACAGAGCCCAGAUUACAAGCAAAAACUGGGCGGAUGUGCUCGACUGCACCUGGCGCAUACUGAAGAGGGUGAUUGCUAACUCCCUGGCAAAGAAUCUCAAUUGGAG
ensembl:lncRNA